rnacentral:rRNA from 1 species
UACGUAGGGGGCAAGCGUUGUCCGGAUUUAUUGGGCGUAAAGAGCGUGUAGGCGGCUAGGUAGGUCCGUUGUGAAAACUCGAGGCUCAACCUCGAGCUGUCGAUGGAAACCAUCUGGCUAGAGUCCGGAAGAGGAGAGUGGAAUUCCACGUGUAGCGGUGAAAUGCGUAGAGAUGUGGAGGAACACCAAUGGCGAAGGCAGCCUUCUGGGCCAACACUGACGCUCAUGCACGAAAGCGUGGGGAGCAAACAGG